UGACUAUUAAAAGGAUCAGUUGGGCUAUUGGGAAGCUCAACCGAGUUGCGGACCAUCUAGAUGGAGCUCGGCCUUGGAACAUGGUCGUUAGGUAGACGACCUCGAAGUUGAAAGCCAUGGGAGAGGUCGUCCAUGUGGAACUUGGUCAAUGAACAAGGUAAGCAGUGCUAGUAACCCUUUUGGCUCAGGUCGUUGAGGUUGCCCGAUGACGACCACAGAGUGAUUAUAGCUUUAAGAUGUCGAACUCCCCGGUCAGAUAUGGCAUCAUAGAUAUGGAUGUUAGGCUGAGAGAGCAAGAACGAAAGAGAAGAAGCAAACAAAUAGGACUUUACGAUUUUGGGAAAUUAGAGGGGAAUCAUUGUGUCGGUCACAAUAGCGAACUAGGAUAGAGGAAUAUGAAGGUGUCGUCCCUGUAGCCCUAUACCUAGGGUUUUUAAAUAGACGAUCACACGCAAAGAAGAAGGAUAGCCACGCUCUGGGGCCUUUAGUAGAGCCACCCUCUUGGGCCCCUUGUACAUAAUUACAUCUCAAACUAAAAAAAAUGGCAUAUUUAGAACGUUAAAGAUAAACCAAAUAUAUAAAAUAAAAUUGAAAAAUUGUUGUUCCUAAU
rnacentral:lncRNA from 1 species